UGUACCAGUUUUUAAACGUAAACCAGGGCUAGCCCAGAUGGCUGCCACAGCAAGCUCUGCAGCUCAUGGGCCCCAAGUCCCCUGUUCUGGGGCCUGGGGAUAAGUUUGGCUACAGACAUUC